ACUUCCUCUAAGUAUUGUAUGAUCUAGUAAAAAGAUCUGUUCAUAUCAGCUUAACCCCUGUUACGUCCUGCAUCACAGGACUGGAAUAUUAAACUCAUUUUUUAUUCAUGAUGGAUUGCCAAGAGCGUUUUCUAACUCUGUAACAUGAUGCCUCCUCACUUUCGAACUUUCUUUAGGUUGUCAAAUGUCUC